UGCUCAGAUCACUCUCACAGGAAGGCAACUGCAUAUUUGUGGCAGGCUUGAGUUGGGAAAACUUCAGUCAAGCCUGGCUAUGAAAUAGAGUCACGGACAGAUCCCGCUGAGAGCAACUGCUCGCGCUGCCGUACCUGGGGAUUGGAUCUGCUCGGGAGGACCACCAGGUCAUGGGAUUGAACGUAAACGCCAGAAAUAGUUGCAGUUCCCAGUUUACCUACCCUCUGGCCCUUUAAAUUGAGGUGGGAAAGAAAGAAAAGGUGUUUCUGUUGGAGUGG